UGCCAGCAGCCGCGGUAAUACGGAGGAUCCAAGCGUUAUCCGGAAUCAUUGGGUUUAAAGGGUCCGUAGGCGGUCUAAUAAGUCAGAGGUGAAAUCCUACAGCUCAACUGUAGCAUUGCCUUUGAUACUGUUAGACUUGAGUUAUUGUGAAGUAGUUAGAAUGUGUAGUGUAGCGGUGAAAUGCGUAGAUAUUACACAGAAUACCGAUUGCGAAGGCAGAUUACUAACAAUAUACUGACGCUCAUGGACUACCCGGGUAUCUAAUCCUGUUCGCUC
rnacentral:rRNA from 1 species